rnacentral:lncRNA from 10 species
AGCCACUGGUGUCCCAUUAUAUAUAAUUUUUCUUAUCUUAAUUAUAUGUAAUUAAACUAAGAGGCCAGGCACAGUGGCUCACACCUGUAAUCUCAGCACUUUGGGAGGCCGAGGUGGGAGGAUCACUUAAGCCCAGGAGUUUGAGGCCAGUCUAGGCAAGAUAGCAAGACCUUGUCUCUACUAUGUUUGUUUGUUAUUUGAGAUG